rnacentral:rRNA from 1 species
ACGUAGGGAGCGAGCGUUGUCCGGAAUUACUGGGCGUAAAGGGCGCGUAGGCGGGAAUUUAAGUAAGGUGUGAAAACUCCGGGCUCAACCUGGAGACUGCACUUUAAACUGGAUUUCUUGAGGGCAGGAGAGGAAAGUGGAAUUCCUAGUGUAGCGGUGAAAUGCUUUGAUCUUAGGAGGAACACCAGUGGCGAAGGCGCCUUUCUGGAAUGUACCUGACGCUGAGGCGCGAAAGCGUGGGGAGCGAACAG